GGCCGACUAGCUCAGUUGGUUAGAGCGUCGUGCUAAUACCAAUCUCCUGGUACGCGAAGGUCUUGGGUUCGAUCCCCACGUUGGCCA